UGCAAGUGUUAUCCGGAAUCACUGGGCGUAAAGCGUCUGUAGGUGGUCAAAUAAGUCAACUGUUAAAUCUUGAGGCUUAACCUCAAAAUCGCAGUCGAAACUAUUAGACUAGAGUAUAGUAGGGGUAAAGGGAAUUUCCAGUGGAGCGGUGAAAUGCGUAGAGAUUGGAAAGAACACCGAUGGCGAAGGCGGCUACCUGGACCGGUACUGACGCUGAGGCGCGAAAGCCAGGGGAGCGAAUGGG
rnacentral:rRNA from 1 species